AGCACCUCAUGCCCUUCCCAGUGAAGUCAGUGAAGCGAGUCGUAUUCCAUACUUGAGGAAAGGUACAACGGAAAGGUACAACUGAGUGGACAUCUAUUGAUAAAUAAAGGAGUGUCAUCACAGGACCACAAGGACUCUUCCUUCAGAUUAGCAGUCUAAAAGAACAUUUGGAGCAGCAAAGGCAGGGAAAGGCCACAGGUGAAAUACUAAUGUUGGUUUGUGAAAGAACAGUUUCACUGCAUUCAUAAAGAGGCUGCUGUUGACUUUGCAAAGGUGCACAUGAAGAACAAUGACUGAAGAGAAGGCAAACCACCACUCACUCACAGUGAGAUGGUGGAGGAAAGUCUCACAGGGCACCACAGAAAGAGAUCCUUUGAAAACUGUGUGAAAUGUUGGAAGAGGAUUUGGGAACAGAAGGAAAAGCAUCAAAACAGCAGUCUGAUUGGAGACAUUAAAAGGCUUGCAAGCAGCAUGACUUUAACUUCAAUAACUGGAGACACCCACGCCUGUAAGCACAGAGUGAGGGAGGAAGACCAAAUGAAGGCACCCAAUGCAGUGUAAUAAAUGCUGGGGGACUGCCUGGAAAAACUGAGGGAUGUCUAUGGUCUCUUCUAGUUGGUACUUGGAGAAGGUUCCUGAUGGGAUGACUUUCAGCUCCCAAAAACCUUUCAAGUUUGACCAUGCAGACAUGCUUGGAAGAAUGUCAGAUGAGUACACAUCUGUCCAAGACCUUUUACCAAACAGCAACACCUGGUUACCUUGUGUUACACCAUGAAGAAGCUAAUUAUGCACCCAAACCCAUCAGAGGUCACCUCUGAAGCUCUGAGAGUACACCAGAGCCAAACAGGAAUUCUAGGAUGGAAGAGAUCUUUGUCAGAAAAAGCCAAAUCGUUGGAACCAGAAUGUGUCUUGUAUCCAGGAUUCAGCUGCUUAAUGGACAUUAAUCAGCAUGUAAAGGCCUUUAUGAUGCAGCACCCAAGCCUGGAAAGGGGUCAGCAGGUGCACCCUGGAUGCCAACUGCCUGGCUGGGAGGGACAUCUGUUUGAUGAAGUAGAACAAUGCUGCUAGUAAUCCAGAGGCCGAAAUGGGCAAACUGCGAAAGAACAGGAGAUAGGCUGAAGGUGCCAACAGGAUUCUCGCAGAAGGAACAUUCAAGUAUGUAAUUGUUUGCAGGAUCUGGACCUACAAGAGGAGCUCAGAAGAACAAAGCACUUGGCUUCACCAAUGUCCCUUUUCAUUGCUUCUAAUGAAAGAUUCAUAAGAAUAACUUUAAUUUUUUAUGAUCUUUUUUUGCAUUACUGUAUUAGCUGCAUCUACUUUGUAUGCAAUUUCUUCUUAAAUACAGAAAACCUGUUUCAAAAUGCCAGACAUAAUAACUUAAUCAGUACAAUAAUUGAUCUUGAUUGUUGUGCAGUCCUUCUUAACAGUCAGGAAGUGAGAUGGAGCCCAGAAAAUGUUUUAUGUGAUUAUUUCUUCCCAUUGCAAAGUGAUGUAUUUGUGAAGAACGCAGGUGAAGGUCCACACUGGAGUUCUUCUUUUUUUUUUUUUUUUGAGAAAAAAAUCAAACACCCCCCCUCUAAUUUGCUAGUUAAACUGUUCAGUGGAAGAAUGAUUGUAUUUGUCCUUUUUGGCUUCGCCCAAUUAAUUGGAGCAGUAACAUAGAGAUUGUUAAUAAACAGCUCUAAUUUGACUGUACUUCUUGCCUAUCUACUAACCCCACCAUAUCUUUGUUUAGCAUAUCAUCAGGGAAAACAAGGAAGCAUGUAUAUAAUUUUGUUCUGUUGUAUAUGAAGUUUAAUAAUUAUGCCACAGUGGAUUCUAAAUUAAUCACAGAAGGCGCAACAAUAUUAAUAAUCUGUUUAGCAAACUCCAGUGUCUUUGCACUUUGAUGUUAGGAGCAGAGACAGUACAAACUGUGGCAGUUUUUAAAAUUGGGCGAGUGUUUGUUUCUUUUACAGCUUAUAUCAAUGUUUUCUUUUAUGCUUUUUCUACUGUGCACCUUGUUUCCCUCUAAGAAAAAAAAACAACAAACCACAAACCAAAACCACAGAACUCAACAAACAAGCCUGUGCUUAUUUGGGUGCGCUUGGAUCAAAGCUGACAGAUCGAAUUUUUCAUUUAUUUAACAAAGUUUCAUUGCAGCCAUUCCUCAUAAUUACAGCAGUGUUUUAAUUUUUUUCCUUCCCUUGAAUAGGAGAGAAGGGGUUCUGAGAAAGUUUUAAUUAGCUAAAUAGGUCUGUGUAAUCUAGAUGAAAUAAACACGCCCGUUUGAAAGGGUUGUUAGAACUUUUCCAGCCAUUUAAUCCAUAGAUGGCUGAACACAAUGAUACCUUCCACAGAAAGCUACAGCCACCACCAGCAGCUGUUAGAAGAGAGCUUGCUCCCUGCUCCUAUUGAUAACCCUUUGUGGAAUGAAGAAAAAGAGCUGAGGGAAGGAGAACUGAAUGUCAGACAAUAGACAUCGCUACACACACUGUCUCUGAACUUUCCUCAUCUCUGAAGGACAAUUAAUUAUGAAGGCCUUUGGGGUAGGUCGAAGCAAGGGAAAACCUACUGCUGGCCCAGCACUCCAGCCGCUAUCUCUGUGUUUGUUAAAUGGUUGUGCCUGUUGGGGAACCAGAGUAGCAGCCACCAAAAUAGCCAAUAGAUCAUUUAGGAAAAAAGAGCAAAAGAUUUUUUUUAUGUGUGUCUGUCCUUGUAUAAUUCUAUUCUCACUGUGAAAUCAUCCAUACACAAAACACAAGGACAAUUUUUUUUUUUUUUAGAAGAACCACAGGGUAGGUUACAGUCAGAAACGGCCUCUCAGUGGUGUGUUAAAAAGGAUGGUCUUUUCACCAAAUCAUUUCACAGAGGCAAAACAGACAAACACAAAGAGUUGAGACUUUUUCUCCUACAUUAAAUAGAGUAACUGAUAAGGUCAGACAUAUGAUACCUAAAGACAUGAAUCUGUGAACUCUUGAAGUCAAAGGACUUCUCUGUGCAAAGGAACAAUCUUUCAAAGGAAAUAGAUCAUAGAACUCCACUGAAUCCCCUUUAAACUUUAUGAAGCAGGAGGAGAAAAAGCUCUAAGUAGGGAAGCUUGACAGAAGAGCCUUGAACUAUUUUCUGAAGGAAAGAUGAGACCCUCCCUAGGCUGCCACAAAACAUCUUUUUUUUUCUAAAGGCUCUUCUGAACUUUGAUAUGUGCCAAGACACCGCUAUUGAAAGCUGUAUAAUUAUGUGCUAUAGCCACUGUAGAAAAUGCUUUGUUCACCACAACAAAGAACAAUAAGCAAAGUAAAGUGACAUUACACUGUAUCUUUUUCUUUAAGAAUGUUGAGAAAGGUCACGGUACGUUAUAACUAAUAAAGCUGUUGAGUAAGGAAGUUUAAAGUUGGGCUUGCUGUGCUUAAAUGCAACCCAAUGACAAAAAGGCAAAGGGAACUAAAAUUGUAAUGACAUUAAAAAAUAGAUCAUAUAUCAACAUGCCAACUUCAUUAUACAAACACCUUGAUUCCAAAGGACACAAACAGCAGACCCGGGCGUAGUGCUGCAAUAGCAUUCCUCUUGCAACUCUCCCCCUAACAGCUUCCAACUACGGUCUGCAGUUCAACUAACUGCAAAAACUGAUUAAUAAGCAUUAAUUGAUACAUGCAACGCACGGACCUUCUGUUGCAAGUCGUGGAUUUUGUUACUUGAUUAAAAACCAGGUUCAUGUCCUGUGCAGUUUCAAGGAAAGCUCUGCUGUUUCACAAGGGAGCCUCUUCAAAAUUAGAAGGGAAAAAAAAAAAAAAAGAAGAAAAGGAAAAAGGCCAGAGGGCAUCAAUUAAGUUUCCUGAAACCAAGAUUUUUAAGUGAAAAAGAAAUACCAUCUGGCCACCUAUGUUUCAGAGGACUCAGGACAGCUACAUUUGUUAUUCUCAAAUUGCCAGAGCAGCUUUACUCCCCUUGCUGCAGACCAGCAGACAGCAGCCUCCCGACUCUGUCUUUAAGAAGGCUGAGAACGAUGUUGAAACACUACAACAAUAAAGCCCUUGAAGGAGGAAGUAUACAGCUGAGGGAGAAAUGUGAGGAGUGGAAUACUGAAACAAACAACUGUCCCGUUGGGCUGUGCUCACUGCUGGUACCACCAGAAGCUUGGAGACUGCCACAGCAGGGCAGUUUGCAUGGAAAGAGCAACCUUCAGGAUGCAAGUUAGCAGGUUACAGACUUGAUUUUCACUUCUCUUGAGGCCACUUUGCACUGCUCCAGAGCAUUAGGGUGGUUAUAAACUGUACUUUACAGUGCCUAUGUGCUGCAAAACCACUCAAAAGUGGCCUUAGUUUAAAUGAGAAUCAGGUUUGAGGACUUUAAUUCUCCUUUUGAUGAGCACCAAUUCAGUUCGAGAUGAAUCCUGCAGAUGAAACUGGGGAAGAAUACAGGUUCCUAAAAUAAGCAUAUGAGUGGACAGCGUUUUUAUAAUUUAGGAUGCCUUAAUUUUUGGAUGCAGUGCUGGGCACACUUCAUUUUCAGGGAAUGGACUGUUGAGGACCUCCUGACAAAGUGACUCUUACCGAGCAUCCCAAAGUGAAAUUGAUCUAAAAUCAUCAUCACUUCUGAAAAUGUUGGCAGCCUGUGUUCCUCUCAAGGGCUUGUAGGCCGCUUACGUGACUGGGUUAUUGCUUAGAUUUUAUAGGUGCUGUUAUUUGACUUGUUUUACAUCAUCCCAUUGAUUUUUACGGGACUAACUCAGAGCGCCUUAAGUUAAACAUUCUGCUAAGACCUGAGUAUGACUGGUCUUAAUUAGGUUUUUCCCACUAGUAUGUUUUUCCCCUGCCAAAAGAAGUUCAAACUCCUUAAAAAUGGUUUUCUCCCCCUUGGAAACGACAUGUGCCGUAACUAGCGCUGUGAAACGAGGCAAUCCUCGCAUUGAGCCCCGCUGUACCAAAACUGCAGACAGUGUUUGUGCAAAUAACGCAGCUUGGCAGGCACCUCACUAUUGUGAUCCAUCUCAGUAACUACAUCUGCAAAAUCAGGCAAGUUCCCGUGAAGCAGCGAGCGGCUGAGCUCAGGAAGAUGGUGCAUGACCUCCCCAACCCAUGGAGGAGCGGGCAGAGGGGCACAGGGCGGAGCUGCCACCACAGAGACACCUUGACACUUCACAACUAGGGCUGAGUUGUUAAAUGCCCACUAGGAAAGGGAAUGGGCACUGUGCAGAGAGGCAUUAAUACGUGGAGAAUGAUGAUGACUGCUUAAAAAUGCCAGGGAACAAGGGUGACUGAGGAGUGGGAGACAGAGCAAGAUUAAAAUCCAGGUGUUGUCCUCAGGCCAGUUUCUUUUGGUUAAGUGCAUAAAUCUGAAAAUAAACCCUCUGUUUAAGUUUUUUAACUCAUGUUAAACUAAUCUUUGUUUCAGCUCAUGUUUUUCAACCAUAUUUCUAAUUUAACUCAGAGUGUGGUGUGUCCCUGGUUUUCAAUCUUCCUGCCAGCUCUGAUGACCAGUGUUAGGGCAGAUUCUGAGAGUUAUAAAAUUACUAAAUUUUUAUUUCCCUUUCUUUUUCCUUCAAUACAUAGCAACAAUACCUGACUUUAAUUAUUGCAGCUGGCAUUCAAAAGCCUAUGGCAACACUGCAGAUGAGACAGAUAUCAAGUGGCACAGCAAGCUGUCCUCUCCUUGUGACCAACCUGAGCUGGGACACUGACAUUUGUGGUUUUCAUUCACCAGGACACCCCACCUUCUUCCUCCCCAGAGGAAUGGCCCCAGAAUAAAGAAAAACCUUCACCUUCCAAAAAAAAAAAUCCCAAACUGUUUUUUUCUUUUUUUUUUUCCCCUUUAAAAACUCAAUCCCUAAUUGCUUUGUUCAGCUCAGCACAUGUUUCUCCAGCUAGCCCUACUGCAAGAGAGAAAAAUGUGGAACUCGCUGCACAUGUGUACACACAAAACACAGGCAAAGGUGCACUGCACUGGAGGAGGCCUUGGAUCUGUCUUUGGCUCACAGCCACAAGGGUACAAUGGCAAAGCUAAAAACGAUAGGACAUGUGGUUUGUUAAACAUCUUAUUUGACUUUGCUACAAGCUGUCAGUAGCAAUGCCCAGGGAAAGGAACACAGUAUCGCAAAUUCUUGAACAAAUCAAUGGCACAGCCUGAUAUGGACCAAACACACAUUCUAACUUUAGAAUUUUUUUCCCAAUAGUCAGUUUAGGCCUAUAUGCUUGAAGUAUAUGCAUGAAUGUGACCGAGGAACGGAUAAACAGAAGGGUUUAGGAAUGACAGCGUAGGUGAUUCAAGAGAAAUAGCAUAUCAGACUAAUCAGAAGAUCAGCAAAGCAUCAUUUAAGUAUGAGAGGAAGGAACUUUGAUGAUGCUAAAUAUGGCAAAUGCUCAGUUUGCUAAAUCCUUUUGGAUCCAAUUUCAACAUUACAGUACUUGUCAUUUUUGCUUUCCAGCUUGUGGGGGAGGGGAUGGGCAUUUAUCAGGAAAAGUUACAUUGUCUACGUUAAACGCUGUGCCACACUGCUUAAUGUUCUCAUAGCUGCUGGAUCCUCAGCAAAACCAAGACCUGAACUCUAGGAAAUUCUCGUUGCAGUACAGAACACAAGGAAGUCUAAACAAAUGAAUUUGCAAUCACCAUUUAUAAUAUCUCUUUCCCUCAACGAUGGAGGAAAACAAACCAAGGGGCUCCUUUCCAACCCACUGCAGGACCCUUGGCUCAGGAGACUGCAAUCACUAGCAGUACUAAACAUAUGAGAUUUAUGUUUUCUUAUCUACUUGAAAACACGUAUACACUCCCACAAUUCUUCACUGGAGUAAUCCACUUACAUUAACACCGGCACUAACGCUUUGAAAAUGAGUAAUAAGUGUCUGAAAUCAUCAAGAGUAUGAGAACUUUUGAGCACAUUUCAACCUUCAAGGAACAUUUCAAUCUAUGUUCUAUAAACAGAAAAAUAUUAGUAAGAAAAAAACUUGAGGGAAUCUAAGCACAAGGAAAAGGUUGGUCACACUUAUGACCUCGUGUAUUUCCUUUUCUGUUCCUGUAUUCAGUGACUGUGGCUUGGCAUCAGGGCAGACCUACAUCCCAGGGGUGGGAGUCUCCUCUCUUGUGCCUGCUUGAGUUCCUAGCAGGGCCAGAGCCCUUAGGAGUGCCUGGGGGGUCAUGGCACACCAAAAAUAGCCUAGAUGUUGCUGUCAUCCACCAUGCAUGGCAAAACCUUUGAGGAACACGCUCUUCUCCCCUCUUCCUUCAUCCACCCCUUCCACUCAACCACCCUUCCCGAAAACUCUGCCAGCCCAGAAGAGGAAGAAACAACCAAGAAAGAUGACAAAGUCUUCGCUUACGCUUUUUGCAUCAUCUGAACUUAUGUGCCAUGAGAACAAGCCCUGCUAAAAAUCCAUCAGAAGGAUUUUAGGCAGGAAUUCACCUCAUGCUGGCAAAUGUCACUCUUGCUACAGGAGGGGGAUCAUUAUGCAACUUGACCCCGAGUGAAUGGUGCAGACAAAAAAAAAAUUAAUAAUUAGUACCACCAUUGCUUUCCCACUCCACCAAGAGAUGGGAUUACUCGAGUCUCCCCCACAUGCACACCCUGUUCAAAUGCAUCAUUACAUCUGACUACCUGAACAAUGCAAACUGCCAUCCUCAGCAGGGAGAAACACUCUCCCGUGGUAUCACCGAGGGUCAGCAUGUUAAUGAUAACAAUAGUCUGCUGAGCUACCAGGCUGGCCUGUAAACAGGAAUCUUAAUCAAAGCCACAAACCUGUUACAGCAGAAAACAGAGCAUUUACUUCAAGUACUCAUUUUAUCCUGCAGUUGGACAAAGCAAAUGCAUUUUUGUUCUGUAAAUCAAAUGAAGAAAAGCAGAGUGUUUGAUCACACAAUUAGGGAGCUCUUGAAGAGCUGUGAGGUGAUUUCUUUUACUACUGUCCCUCCUAAAGGAAACUUCAAAAGUUGAAACUAAGAAACUUAUAAAAAAAGUAAAAACUUUUAUCUCUCAUCAGGUCCUAGUGAGGCAUAAGUCUCCAGCUACCAGGGCUAAAAAGAUUAAUUAGCAUCAUUCAGGGAUGUGGAAUGCAAAGAUUUCACUGGCCACGGCCACAUUAAAAAGGUACAUUAUUUUAAAGGCAGCCUGGACCUCGGAGCAACUCACACACACAGAGAAACAAAGAUCAG